rnacentral:rRNA from 1 species
UACACACGGAUAACAUACCGAAAGGUAUGCUAAUACGGGAUAAUAUAUUUGAGAGGCAUCUCUUAAAUAUCAAAGGUGAGCCAGUACAGGAUGGACCCGCGUCUGAUUAGCUAGUUGGUAAGGUAACGGCUUACCAAGGCGACGAUCAGUAGCCGACCUGAGAGGGUGAUCGGCCACAUUGGAACUGAGACACGGUCCAAACUCCUACGGGAGGCAGCAGUGGGGAAUAUUGCACAAUGGGCGAAAGCCUGAUGCAGCAACGCCGCGUGAGUGAUGAAGGCCUUCGGGUCGUAAAACUCUGUCCUCAAGGAAGAUAAUGACGGUACUUGAGGAGGAAGCCCCGGCUAACUACGUGCCAGCAGCCGCGGUAAUACGUAGGGGGCUAGCGUUAUCCGGAUUUACUGGGCGUAAAGGGUGCGUAGGCGGUCUUUCAAGUCAGGAGUGAAAGGCUACGGCUCAACCGUAGUAAGCUCUUGAAACUGGGAGACUUGAGUGCAGGAGAGGAGAGUGGAAUUCCUAGUGUAGCGGUGAAAUGCGUAGAUAUUAGGAGGAACACCAGUUGCGAAGGCGGCUCUCUGGACUGUAACUGACGCUGAGGCACGAAAGCGUGGGGAGCAAACAGGCUUAGAUACCCUGGUAGUCCACGCUGUAAACGAUGAAUACUAGGUGUCGGGGGUUACCCCCCUCGGUGCCGCAG